CAAGACGUUAGAUUGUUGGAGCGUUUCUAGGUGUAUUCUAUCCAUUGUUUUAAUGUUUCAAUUUAAUUGUCUUUGUUUAAUUACGAACAUGAGAAGCUAAACUCGUUUUAGGUAGGGGGAAAUUCAAAGCCAUGAACAUAUUUGCAAUAUGAAUUGAUUAUUUCCAAUUGUGAUUUCAUGAAUCAUGAAUGCAAUUUACUUAACUGUUUGAUUAAGAACUUAUUCUUGUUUGUUGAUUAAGGGUGCAUACUUAGUUUGCAUGCAGGGAUUUGAUGCUAAAAUAUAAGGGAGUUUCACAUAAUAGUUAUGAACUUAUAUUUAUAAGUAGUGGAGGUUGCUAGUCACUAUCGCGUUAAGUGAAUUCCUAGCAGGACUAUCAUGUUGUUCGUAGUUAUGAAUGCCUUGUCAAUGCUUAUGAUUUUCACAAACCUUAAUGAUCUUUGAUUGUAUCUCUAUUAUGCUAUAAUGUAGGGAACUUUUGAAAAAUAAUUUGGUUGCCGAUGCGUUGUCCAUCCAAUUCAAUGACUUAAGGAAAAUCUGAGGGUUAAUUAGUGCUUUUCACGGUUAAUUUGGGGCGUUGAGGUUCAUGGUUUAUUGGAAAAGCA
rnacentral:lncRNA from 1 species